rnacentral:lncRNA from 1 species
AUUGUUUUGAGUAAGUUAUAUGAAAUGCAUGUAUUAAUUCUUUGUAAUAGUUUAUUACAGUAAGAAGUAAAAUACUUUAAGGCCCCGUUUGGUUGGCGGUAUAAGCAGGGAUAACUUUCGUUAUCCCCGCUAUUCCGCCGAGUGAAAAAAUUUUUGACUGGAAUAUUUUAUUCCGGUCAAAUUUUGCUAUUCUCGGCUAUUUCGAAAUAGCUUGGAUUUAUUAUUCCACUAUUUUGAUGGAAUAGUACUAUUUCAAUAUUUAGUUUCAAACUUUAUUAAAAUUAUAAAUUAAAUAUAAACUAAAUUAUAUAAAUAUAAUAUAUUAUAUAUUAUAAUAUAUAUUUUUUAUUAUAAAUGUAUUAAUUGUACUAUAUUAAUA